GACGUAGGGCGCGAGCGUUGUCCGGAAUUAUUGGGCGUAAAGAGCUCGUAGGCGGUCUGUCGCGUCGGAUGUGAAAACCCGGGGCUUAACCCCGGGCCUGCAUUCGAUACGGGCAGACUCGAGUGUGGUAGGGGAGACUGGAACUCCUGGUGUAGCGGUGAAAUGCGCAGAUAUCAGGAAGAACACCGGUGGCGAAGGCGGGUCUCUGGGCCACUACUGACGCUGAGGAGCGAAAGCGUGGGGAGCGAACAGG
rnacentral:rRNA from 1 species